UACGUAGGGGGCAAGCGUUGUUCGGAAUUACUGGGCGUAAAGGGCGCGUAGGCGGUACGACAAGUCGGGAGUGAAAGCCCGGGGCUCAACCCCGGGACUGCUUUCGAAACUGUCGAACUUGAGUGCAGAAGAGGCAACUGGAAUUCCCAGUGUAGCGGUGAAAUGCGUAGAUAUUGGGAAGAACACCUGAGGCGAAGGCGGGUUGCUGGGCUGACACUGACGCUGAGGCGCGAAAGCCAGGGGAGCGAACGGG
rnacentral:rRNA from 2 species